AUCACGGGUUUACGUUUUUUGGCA
rnacentral:siRNA from 1 species